rnacentral:lncRNA from 1 species
GCAACUCCUGCGAUUCUAAGAUCCGAGUUAUAGGACUUGGAAAAAUUUUCUAAAAAACCUGGGCUCGGAGCUCCCUUUGGUCGGAAUGACUGGGAUCCGAGAAAGCCCAUAUAUAGCCCAGGAAAAAGGGCGACUUUGUUAAGCAACCCGAAAACUAAAAUACAAAGUUAGAAGUCGGUGAGACGGUUAGCUAAGACUCUAGCCUCAUUCACGACAAGAAAAGGAAAGACGAGCACAGGAUGACAGCAUUUUUUCAUUAAUAAAGGGCGGAGAGGCCAAUUACAAAAUUGGAGGUCGGCCAUCCAAAAGCCGACCUCGGAUACAAUGAAAAAGAAAAAAUACGCCAAGUCUUAAGCGGCGGCAGCAACAUCCGCGGGGUCGUCUGGCACGGUGAUGACCUCGGGUCCUUCAGCCAGCACAGGCUCGGGGUCGGGGGCAGGGGCCCCGGGUGCCGCCUCCGGGACGCCGUCCGUCUCGGCCACCCUCGUCGAAGGCUCGGCGGGAUCUUGUUCAUACAAUCCUGCCUCGGAUGUCAAAAUGGCAGGAAGGUCUUCCGUGUCGGACCCGUAGCCCAGGUUCAU